rnacentral:rRNA from 1 species
UUAAGCGACUAAGCGUACACGGUGGAUGCCCUGGCAGUCAGAGGCGAUGAAGGACGUGCUAAUCUGCGAAAAGCGUCGGUAAGGUGAUAUGAACCGUUAUAACCGGCGAUGUCCGAAUGGGGAAACCCAGUGCAAUUCGUUGCACUAUCGUUAACUGAAUACAUAGGUUAACGAGGCGAACCGGGGGAACUGAAACAUCUAAGUACCCCGAGGAAAAGAAAUCAACCGAGAUUCCCCCAGUAGCGGCGAGCGAACGGGGAGCAGCCCAGAGUCUGAAUCAGCUUGUGUGUUAGUGGAACGGUCUGGAAAGUCCGACGGUACAGGGUGAUAGUCCCGUACACCAAAAUGCACAGGUUGUGAACUCGAAGAGUAGGGCGGGACACGUGGUAUCCUGUCUGAAUAUGGGGGGACCAUCCUCCAAGGCUAAAUACUCCUGACUGACCGAUAGUGAACCAGUACCGUGAGGGAAAGGCGAAAAGAACCCCGGCGAGGGGAGUGAAAAAGAACCUGAAACCGUGUACGUACAAGCAGUGGGAGCACCUUCGGGUGUGACUGCGUACCUUUUGUAUAAUGGGUCAGCGACUUAUAUUCUGUAGCAAGGUUAACCGUAUAGGGGAGCCGCAGGGAAACCGAGUCUUAACUGGGCGUUAAGUUGCAGGGUAUAGACCCGAAACCCGGUGAUCUAGCCAUGGGCAGGUUGAAGGUUGGGUAACACUAACUGGAGGACCGAACCGACUAAUGUUGAAAAAUUAGCGGAUGACUUGUGGCUGGGGGUGAAAGGCCAAUCAAACCGGGAGAUAGCUGGUUCUCCCCGAAAGCUAUUUAGGUAGCGCCUCGUGAAUUCAUCUUCGGGGGUAGAGCACUGUUUCGGCUAGGGGGUCAUCCCGACUUACCAACCCGAUGCAAACUACGAAUACCGAAGAAUGUUAUCACGGGAGACACACGGCGGGUGCUAACGUCCGUCGUGAAGAGGGAAACAACCCAGACCGCCAGCUAAGGUCCCAAAGUCAUGGUUAAGUGGGAAACGAUGUGGGAAGGCACAGACAGCCAGGAUGUUGGCUUAGAAGCAGCCAUCAUUUAAAGAAAGCGUAAUAGCUCACUGGUCGAGUCGGCCUGCGCGGAAGAUGUAACGGGGCUAAACCAUGCACCGAAGCUGCGGCAGCGACACUAUGUGUUGUUGGGUAGGGGAGCGUUCUGUAAGCCUGCGAAGGUGUGCUGUGAGGCAUGCUGGAGGUAUCAGAAGUGCGAAUGCUGACAUAAGUAACGAUAAAGCGGGUGAAAAGCCCGCUCGCCGGAAGACCAAGGGUUCCUGUCCAACGUUAAUCGGGGCAGGGUGAGUCGACCCCUAAGGCGAGGCCGAAAGGCGUAGUCGAUGGGAAACAGGUUAAUAUUCCUGUACUUGGUGUUACUGCGAAGGGGGGACGGAGAAGGCUAUGUUAGCCGGGCGACGGUUGUCCCGGUUUAAGCAUGUAGGCUGGUUAUCCAGGCAAAUCCGGAUAAUCAAGGCUGAGGUGUGAUGACGAGGCACUACGGUGCUGAAGUAACAAAUGCCCUGCUUCCAGGAAAAGCCUCUAAGCAUCAGGUAACAUCAAAUCGUACCCCAAACCGACACAGGUGGUCAGGUAGAGAAUACCAAGGCGCUUGAGAGAACUCGGGUGAAGGAACUAGGCAAAAUGGUGCCGUAACUUCGGGAGAAGGCACGCUGGUGUGUAGGUGAAGUCCCUGCGGAUGGAGCUGAGACCAGUCGAAGAUACCAGCUGGCUGCAACUGUUUAUUAAAAACACAGCACUGUGCAAACACGAAAGUGGACGUAUACGGUGUGACGCCUGCCCGGUGCCGGAAGGUUAAUUGAUGGGGUUAUCCGUAAGGAGAAGCUCUUGAUCGAAGCCCCGGUAAACGGCGGCCGUAACUAUAACGGUCCUAAGGUAGCGAAAUUCCUUGUCGGGUAAGUUCCGACCUGCACGAAUGGCGUAAUGAUGGCCAGGCUGUCUCCACCCGAGACUCAGUGAAAUUGAACUCGCUGUGAAGAUGCAGUGUACCCGCGGCAAGACGGAAAGACCCCGUGAACCUUUACUAUAGCUUGACACUGAACAUUGAGCCUUGAUGUGUAGGAUAGGUGGGAGGCUUUGAAGCGUGGACGCCAGUCUGCGUGGAGCCAACCUUGAAAUACCACCCUUUAAUGUUUGAUGUUCUAACGUUGGCCCCUUACCGGGGUUGCGGACAGUGUCUGGUGGGUAGUUUGACUGGGGCGGUCUCCUCCCAAAGCGUAACGGAGGAGCACGAAGGUUAGCUAAUCCUGGUCGGACAUCAGGAGGUUAGUGCAAUGGCAUAAGCUAGCUUGACUGCGAGCGUGACGGCGCGAGCAGGUGCGAAAGCAGGUCAUAGUGAUCCGGUGGUUCUGAAUGGAAGGGCCAUCGCUCAACGGAUAAAAGGUACUCCGGGGAUAACAGGCUGAUACCGCCCAAGAGUUCAUAUCGACGGCGGUGUUUGGCACCUCGAUGUCGGCUCAUCACAUCCUGGGGCUGAAGUAGGUCCCAAGGGUAUGGCUGUUCGCCAUUUAAAGUGGUACGCGAGCUGGGUUUAGAACGUCGUGAGACAGUUCGGUCCCUAUCUGCCGUGGGCGCUGGAGAAUUGAGGGGGGCUGCUCCUAGUACGAGAGGACCGGAGUGGACGCAUCACUGGUGUUCGGGUUGUCAUGCCAAUGGCACUGCCCGGUAGCUAAAUGCGGAAGAGAUAAGUGCUGAAAGCAUCUAAGCACGAAACUUGCCCCGAGAUGAGUUCUCCCUGAGACUUUAAGUCUCCUGAAGGAACGUU